AAUUAAUUAACUUAUUUAAAUUAAUAUUCACCAUUUAAUUCUCAUGAGACUUGUAAUAAAUGAUUGAUUUUUUCAAAUAAUAUAAUUACAUGACAUGAUUUAAAUAUAUAAUAAUUGUUUUAUACAAACCUUUCUCUUGUGUUCAAAGCAUUAUUAUUUGUCCUAUAUUAAUUAUUGAUAUAUGGAAUUUGAUUAUAAAAUUAAAAAACAUUAUAAAAUUACACUGACAACAGGACUUGUAAAUUAUAAUAGCUGAUAUCAAACAAAAGAUGAUGUAUAUAUUUUCUUAAAUACUCUAGAUUGCACAACUAAUUAUCUUGCCUAUUCUUCUUUUUAGUUGAUACAUGGAAUUUGAUUUACAAAAGGAAAUAGAUGUUGUACUCCCAAUUUUUUCUCAGUUUGUAACUCAAUUUUAAAAUCUCCGAAUUGUUUGUGACCUUGUCGAGGUGUAGUUUACAGAUAUUUUUACACAUGAAAAUUAUAUAAUUAAUUAUUAAAAUGAAAUAAUCAUAAACUAGAGCUAUUAAUGGGUCGAAAUCAAGUUCAUGGGCGUAGCCCAAUUCCGAACAAGUCCAACACAUGACUUUGAGAGUCAAGUCAAGCCAAGCCUAAUCCGAAUAAUAAUUAAUAAAGGAUUUCAUUUUAAUUUUAAAUAUUGGUAUAAAUAUUUUUAAUAUUUUAAUAAUAAAUAGAAUUUGAACUGACGGGUCAAGAUUUAAGAGAUGUAAACCAUGGAUGCCUGUAAUUCAUUACACAAAAGGAAUAUAAUUACUCCCAAAAAAUAAAAAAUUCACACUAGAAGCACUUUAUUCGAAGAAUCACCUUCAUUACAAUGGUCUAAUGAAGUAACAAAGAAUGAAAUCGGGAAAAAAAAAAAAAAAACCAAUAGAGAAGAGCCAAACAAGCUCUUUUUAAUUUAAUGCUUCAAGAAAGCAAGAAGAGAAACGAUCAAAGAGAAGCCAACAGUUGCGCUAGAAACGCCCACAGAGAAAGCGGCUCCAGCGUCUGGGGCUUGUGACGGCGCCUCGCUAACCUGCGCCGAGGCGGCGGUUAAGAAUGCCAUGACCAAAGCCACCAAAAGAGCCUUCAACACGCUAACUUGCGCCAUUUCAAAAAGAGAGAAGCAGAGAAAUUUUUAUUUUCUACUUUUGCUCUGAAAUUGUAAGAGAAUUUUCUUUGUAUGAAUUUGGGGUUGGGUAUGGAAAGGGUGGUAUUUAUAGGGGAGUGAAAGCCGCGUGGGGCCUACGGAGGGAGAGUGACAGCUGGGUAACGUUCACAUAACAGCUAUUAAAUAAAUUGAGUGAACAGAAGUUACAGCAUAGAGGAGAUUUGUGAACUGCGCAGUUAGAAUCGAAAAGAUUGUGCUGUUGUGGUCGGAAGCCAAUUGGAGGUUGACACGUUUGUCUGAAAGUUGGACGGAUGAAUCUAUGUCGGUGAACGACAUUGCAACCUGGAAGCCCCGUGGGGUUGAUGAAGUUUGGGAACGUGAUAAUUAAUUCAUGCUAUGUUAUAACAUAUACUAUAUGAUCAUUUUUGUUGAUACAACUACUAUAAUCAUUUUGGACAUGUUACUAUGGCAUAAACAUGUCAAUGUACUCGAUUGGUUCAAAAAUUUAAAAUUUCAAUUUAAAAUUUUGAAUUCAAAUUUUAUAACGAGCAAAAUAAAAUAAUUUAUACAAUGAACCUAAUAUGAUUUAAAAGAAAUAGGACCACUCUCCUUUUAUUUAUUUAUGUAUGACAGCCAAUCACAGCAAUUAUAUUACAAAAUUAAAUAUACAAUUAUGGAUUUUGAUAUUUAAUUUUAAAAGAAUCGAUUAAAAUUAUUUAUUUAUUUAUUAUAUUAUUUGAAUUCAAGAAUAAGAAUUAAAUACGUACUCAUUUUUUAAAUUUUUUUCAUAUAUUUAAAUUAUCUUACUUUCAUAAUCACAUUUAUCACAAAUGUAUUGAAUAAUAAUGUUUCAAAAAAAAUAAAAAAUUCAAAUAAUUAACAUAAUUUAUUGGGAUUUUAUGAAAACAAAUUUAAAACAAUCAUAAAGUGUAAAAAAUAAGUAUUGGUUAAAUAUAAUUAUAUGAAUAUAGUAUAUAAUAUAAUUUAUUUGAGGAUUCAAGGGCUCCGCUUGUGGGCCAUUACAAAGUAUAUAUCACUAAUUUGUGAACACAACAAAGAUAUCUAAAAAUUUGGAAACAAAUUAAAAAAAAAAAUGAUAGCACCCAAUAAUAUUAAUUAUCUCAUGGCAGAAUAGAGGUCUCCCCUCAUGAAACCUUCACCAAUGAGGUGAAAAGGGUGGCAUCCCAUAACUCUUGAAACUUUGAAUCAAUGCAACAACAAAGCAAAUCAAAGAUACCAAUAUGGAGAACACGCCACCACAACGGAAACCGGCAAAGUAAACCCCGAUCAGGUGUCCAUUGCUGGAGAAGGAGUGAUAUCUGUGCCAUGGUUCCGGAUACGUAAAACAGUGCCACAACAAACAUUGCCAUCACAAUCUGAGUUGCAGAGAUCCCAAACCCUGCCAUUGACGCUUAACACAAAAUGUAGAGACGACGAGAGAGGGGAAAUUAAUUGAGGUUAGAAUUGUUUGGUUUCUGUAUGAAUUGUGCAAAUGUACUAAGCCUAGAAUUUAUAGGUAUGAUGUGAAAUUUCCUUCAAAUUUCGGAUCCACAAAUGUGAGAACUUAUAAUAACGAUUUCAUUUCCAUGCCUUUUAGGUCACGGCUUGCAUGUGGAAACCCAGAAAACGCUUUGUUUGACUGAUAUAAACUUGGAGAUAUUUAUGUAGCCUUUUUGUUGAAUUUUUCUGUAGCAUUUUAACUUUAAAUAUUAAUAUAAAUAUUUUUAAUAUUUUAAUAAUAAAUAGAAUUUGAACUGACUGGUCAAGAUUUUAGAGAUGUAAACCAUGGAUGCCUCCAAUUCAGUACACAAAAGGAAUAUAAUUACACCCCAAGAAAAAAAAAUCACACUAGAAGCACUUUAUUCGAAGAAUCAACUUCAUUACAAUGGUCUAAUGAAGUAACAAAGAAUGAAAGAAUGAAAAAAAAAAACAGAAAAGAAAAGAAAAAACAAAACCAAUAGAGGAGCCAAACAAGCCCUUUAAUUUAAGGCUUCAAGAAAGCAAGAAGAGAAGCGGAUCAAAGAGAAGCCAACAGCUGCGCUAGAAACGCCCACAGAGAAAGCAGCUCCAGCGUCUGGGGCAGGUGACGGCCCCUCGCUAACCUGCGCCGAGGCGGCGGUUAAGAAUGCCAUGACCAAAGCCACCAAAAAAGCCUUCAACACGCUAACUUGAGCCAUUUCAAAAAGAGAGAAGCUGAGAAAUUUUUAUUUCCCUUUUUGUUCUGAAAGAGAAUUUUGUU
rnacentral:lncRNA from 1 species